GAUGAACGCUAGCUACAGGCUUAACACAUGCAAGUCGAGGGACCGGCGCACGGGUGAGUAACACGUAUCCAACCUGCCCUUUACUCGGGGAUAGCCUUUCGAAAGAAAGAUUAAUACCCGAUAUAAAGGAUGGGGAUGCGUUCCAUUAGGUUGUUGGUGAGGUAACGGCCCACCAAGCCUUCGAUGGAUAGGGGUUCUGAGAGGAAGGUCCCCUACAUUGGAACUGAGUCACGGACCCAUCUCCGACGUGAGGCAGCAGUGAAGAAGAUUGUGCAAUGGACGUUAGCCUAAACCAGCCAAGUGGCGUGAAGGAGUAAGGCUUAUGGGUCGUAAACUUCUUUGAUAUAAGAAUAUGUAUUAUAUGAAUAAGGAUCGGCUAACUCCGUGCCAGCCGCCGCGGUAAUAC
rnacentral:rRNA from 1 species